rnacentral:rRNA from 1 species
ACUCAAAUGAAUUGACGGGGGCCCGCACAAGCAGUGGAGUAUGUGGUUUAAUUCGAAGCAACGCGAAGAAUCUUACCAAGGAUUGACAUGCAGAUGAAUAUAGGAGAAAUUCUAUAGCUCUUCGGAGCAUCUGUGCAGGUGGUGCAUGGUUGUCGUCAGCUCGUGUCGUGAGAUGUUGGGUUAAGUCCCGCAACGAGCGCAACCCCUAUUAUUAGUUACCAGCAUGUAGAGAUGGGAACACUAAUAAGACUGCCGUGAAUAACGCGGAGGAAGGUGGGGAUGACGUCAAAUCAUCAUGCCCUAUAUAUCUUGGGCUACACACGUACUACAAUGGCCGUAACAAAGAGAAGCGAAAUAGUAAUAUAGAGCGAAACUGAAAAAAGCGGUCACAGUUCGGAUUGAGGACUGAAAUUCGUCCUUAUGAAGCCGGAAUUGCUAGUAAUGGCAGGUCAGCAUACUGCCGUGAAUACGUUCCCGGGCCUUGUACACACCGCCCGU